rnacentral:rRNA from 1 species
UGGGGAAUAUUGCACAAUGGGCGCAAGCCUGAUGCAGCCAUGCCGCGUGUAUGAAGAAGGCCUUCGGGUUGUAAAGUACUUUCAGCGAGGAGGAAGGUGUUGUGGUUAAUAACUGCAGCAAUUGACGUUACUCGCAGAAGAAGCACCGGCUAACUCCGUGCCAGCAGCCGCGGUAAUACGGAGGGUGCAAGCGUUAAUCGGAAUUACUGGGCGUAAAGCGCACGCAGGCGGUCUGUCAAGUCGGAUGUGAAAUCCCCGGGCUCAACCUGGGAACUGCAUCCGAAACUGGCAGGCUAGAGUCUUGUAGAGGGGGGUAGAAUUCCAGGUGUAGCGGUGAAAUGCGUAGAGAUCUGGAGGAAUACCGGUGGCGAAGGCGGCCCCCUGGACAAAGACUGACGCUCAGGUGCGAAAGCGUGGGGAGCAAACAGG